ACCUAUGACGUAGAUCCGCGUUGUUCAAAAGCUGUCAAAAUAAAAUGGUGAAUUGAGUUUAAACCAGAAAAGAUAUAAACGUAAUCUUUGGGAUUCAACUUGUAAGGAUGUUCCAAGAACCACUUAGUUGGAGAAGGAAAACUGUGGCAGGAAUGUUUGACUGGAAAUAUAAACAAUGUUGUACAUAAUGCAGAUAGCUUAGGCAAAAAAGAGAUUGGUGAAAUGGAGAAUGAGACUAACUAGGGUGAAAAAAAAUGAAUAUUAAUAUGUGAAUGGUACUUUGUUUAACAUCUACCUGUUUCUACAGAUACAGUACAGACGCAUUUAUAAAUGGGCUUGAUGUUUUUUUGAAUUAAAUAUGUUGUAUUGA
rnacentral:lncRNA from 1 species